CUUCAGGUCCCUGUUCGGGCGCCAGAAUGUCGCAGCCCAAGACCCCCUUUGCCCGCAAAGGAGAGGACCG
rnacentral:miRNA from 1 species